rnacentral:rRNA from 1 species
AUUGAACGCUGGCGGCAGGCCUAACACAUGCCAGUCGAGCGAGCGGCGGACGGGUGAGUAAUGUCUGGGAAACUGCCGGAUGGAGGGGGAUAACUACUGGAAAAGGUAUCUAAUACAGCAUACCAUCAGAUGUGCCCAGAUGGGAUUAGCUGGUGGGUGGGGUAACGGCUCACCUAGGCGCCGAUCCCUAGCUGGUCGGAGAGGAUGACCAGCCACACUGGAACUGAGACACGGUCCAGACUCCUACGGGAGGCAGCAGUGGGGAAUAUUGCACAAUGGGCGCAAGCCUGAUGCAGCCAUGCCGCGUGUGUGAAGAAGGCCUUCGGGUUGUAAAGCACUUUCAGCGGGGAGGCGUUACCCGCAGAAGAAGCACCGGCUAACUCCGUGCCAGCCGCCGCGGUAAUUC